GGGGUUGUAGCUUAGUGGUAGAGCUCUUAUCUAGCAUGUGUGAGGCACUGGGUUUGAUUCUCAGCACCCCA
rnacentral:tRNA from 1 species